UACGUAGGUGGCAAGCGUUGUCCGGAUUUAUUGGGUUUAAAGGGUGCGUAGGCGGUUUUGUAAGUCAGUGGUGAAAUACUCUAGCUUAACUAGAGGGGUGCCAAUGAUACUGCGGAACUUGAGUACAGAUGAGGUAGGCGGAAUUGACGGUGUAGCGGUGAAAUGCAUAGAUAUCGUCAAGAACACCGAUAGCGAAGGCAGCUUACUGGGCUGUAACUGACGCUGAUGCACGAAAAGUGUGGGGAUCAAACAGG
rnacentral:rRNA from 1 species